rnacentral:sRNA from 1 species
CUUAUUUUGCCACAUUUUAUUUUGACAUAGGAUUUCCUUCUGAGCCUGGAGUUUAUGGAUUCGCCAAGACUAGCUGGCCAACCAGCUCCGGUUCUCCUGUUGUUUCCCCAGUGGUAGGCUCACGGAUAGGUGCCAUCCAGCCUAGGCUUUUCAUGGGUAUUGGAAAUUUGAACUCAGGCCCCCGUGCUUGUACAUCAAACACUUUAUUGCCAACCAUCUAUCCCCUCAGUCUGGAGUCUGAAUAUCUUCUGUGGAGUCUGGACCUCCAGGGAGUUACCAUGGUUCACUUGUAAAGUAUGAAGACACAGCUCAUCAUGGUUGAAAGGCAAGACAGCAGGACCAUGGUGUAGCUGGUCACACUGCCUCUGCAGUAAGGAAGCAGGAGACAGGGAAUGCUGGUGCUCAGCUGCCUCACUCCUCUCCCCACUUGAUCCCAGCCCAUGAGAUGCUACCACUCGUGUUCAAGGAGGGUGCAGGUGAGCCCACACAGGACAGCAGCGGCUUGGCCUGGGGGACAGUUACAACACAGGUGUAUGCCACCAUGCCUGGAAAUCUUAACAAUUUCAACAUCAUUCAAGAAUUCCAAGUCACUUCUGAGGGUAAGACAGACUUGUAACUGUGAGCCUACGUAAAGCCAAAAGCAAAGGUACCUACUUCUCUAUCCAAUGACGUGGAACAUUCUUAUCCCAAAAGAGAGAAAUAGGGGCAUAGCAAGGAAAGAUGAGGCCAAAAUAGAAAGGAAACCCAGGAGGACACACUUCAAGCUCCGAAGCACAACCUCCAGCACCUGGAGCUCUCGUUAGCAUCAUCUGGCUCCCCGACCCCUUCUGUUUUACUAUUAGUAGCUCAUGUAGCCCGUCCCUGGCUCCACUUUGGG